rnacentral:rRNA from 1 species
UGGGGAAUUUUGGACAAUGGGCGAAAGCCUGAUCCAGCAAUGCCGCGUGUGUGAAGAAGGCCUUCGGGUUGUAAAGCACUUUUUGUCCGGAAAGAAAUCCUUGGCUCUAAUACAGUCGGGGGAUGACGUACCGGAAGAAUAAGCACCGGCUAACUACGUGCCAGCAGCCGCGGUAAUACGUAGGGUGCAAGCGUUAAUCGGAAUUACUGGGCGUAAAGCGUGCGCAGGCGGUUUUGCUAAGACCGAAUGUGAAAUCCCCGGGCUCAACCUGGGAACUGCAUUGGUGACUGGCAGGCUAGAAGUAUGGCAGAGGGGGGUAAAUUCCACGUGUAGCAGUGAAAUGCGUAGAGAUGUGGAGGAAUACCGAUGGCGAAGGCAGCCCCCUGGGCCAAUACUGACGCUCAUGCACGAAAAGCGUGGGGAGCAAAACAGGAUUAGAUACCCUGGUAGUCCAC